rnacentral:rRNA from 1 species
AGGGCGUAUGGGGGAUGCCUUGGCUUCCGGGAGCGAAGAAGGACGUGGUAAGCUGCGAAAAUCGCCGGGGAUUAGCAAACAUGAGUUGAUCCGGCGGACUCCGAAUGGGACAACCCACCAGGCUGAAGGCCUGGUACCAUCGCAAGAUGGGGCAGACGCAGGGAACUGAAACAUCUUAGUACCUGCAGGAAAAGAAAGAAAGAUCGAUUCUCUGAGUAGUGGCGAUCGAAAGGAGAAGAGCCUAAACCGCCGUUGUUUUGGCAAGGGCGGGGUUGCAGGACCCUAUUAGUGAUGUUAUAAAAGAAGUGGAAGUUGUCUGGAAAGGCACACCGCAGGGCGUGAAAGUCGCGUACAUGCAAUUGAAUAACAACACAAGGGAAUCCUAAGUAGGGCGGGACACGAGGAAUCCUGUCUGAAUCCACGGGGACCAUCCCGUAAGGCUAAAUAUUACCGGAAGACCGAUAGUGAACCAGUACUGUGAAGGAAAGGUGAAAAGUACCCCGGACAGGGGGGUGAAAAAGAACCUGAAACCGUACGCCUACAAGCGGUCGGAGCGGGCAAGAGUCCGUAACGGCGUGCCUUUUGCAUAAUGAGCCUACGAGUUACUGUUGCUAGCCAGGUUAAGUACUUCAGGUACGGAGCCGAAGCGAAAGCGAGUCUGAACAGGGCGUGUUGAGUUAGCAGUAGUAGACGCGAAACCUAGUGAUCUACCCUUGGCCAGGUUGAAGUAUCCGUAAAAGGAUAUGGAGGACCGAACCAGUAUCCGUUGAAAAGGAUUUGGAUGAGCUGAGGGUAGGGGUGAAAGGCUAAUCAAACUGGGAGAUAGCUCGUACUCCCCGAAAUGUCUUUUGGGACAGCCUCAAGCUACAGAGUUUACCGGAGGUAGAGCUACUGAUAGGAUGCGAGGGCUUCACCGCCUAUCAAAUCCUGACAAACUCCGAAUGCCGGUAAAUGAUGCUUGGGAGUGAGUUGCCGGGUGCUAAUGUCCGGUAGCGAGAGGGAAAGAGCCCAGACCAACGGCUAAGGCCCCUAAAGUGUGUUAAGUUGACAGAACGAGGUGCGGUUGCUGAGACAGCUAGGAUGUUAGCUUGGAAGCAGCUAGUCAUUUAAAGAGUGCGUAACAGCUCACUAGUCGAGCGACUGUGCGUGGAUAAUAAUCGGGCAUCAAACACACUGCCGAAGCCAUGGACUUCAAAGAAGUGGUAGGGGAGCAUUCCAGAGGGCGUAGAAGGAUAACCUGUGAAGGAAUCUGGAGCGUCUGGAAAAGCAGAUGUAGGCAUAAGUAACGAUAAUGCGGGUUAAAAACCCGCACACCGCAAGCCCAAGGUUUCCUGAUCAAUGUUAGACAGAUCAGGGUUAGUCAGGACCUAAGGGGAAUCCGAGAGGAGCACCCGAUGGACAAAUGGUUAAUAUUCCAUUACCUGUAUGAUAAAGGGGAGGAGUGACGUAGGAGUGACAUGUACGCCGACUGACGGAAUAGUUGGUUAAAGCACGUAAGCAGAUCCGAAGAUUAAGAGUCAUUGGAUGCAGAAGUGCGACAGUACCGCAAGGCUUCGGCUGCGCGGAUAGUUACAGUAAGCAGACUACCGAGAAAAGCUUCGUACCCGUUACCUAUCAUAGAGCCUGUACCGUAAACCGACACAGGUGGGCGAGGAGAGUAUCCUCAGGUGCUCGAGAGAAUCAUGGCUAAGGAACUCGGCAAAAUGACCCCGUAACUUCGGGAAAAGGGGUCCCUGGCGACAGGGCGCAGAGAAAUGGCCCAGGCGACUGUUUAACAAAAACACAUGGCUUUGCAAAAUCGCAAGAUGAAGCAUAAGGCCUGACACCUGCCCGGUGCUGGAAGGUUAAGAGGGGGCGUCAGCCGCAAGGCGAAGCGCUGAAUCGAAGCCCCAGUAAACGGCGGCCGUAACUAUAACGGUCCUAAGGUAGCGAAAUUCCUUGUCGGGUAAGUUCCGACCUGCACGAAUGGUGUAACGAUCUGGGCGCUGUCUCAGCCAUGAGCUCGGUGAAAUUGUAGUAACGGUGAAGAUGCCGUUUACCCGCAACGGGACGAAAAGACCCCGUGAACCUUUACUAUAGCUUAGCGCUGAUUUUGGAUAAGUGAUGUGUAGGAUAGGUGGGAGACUGCGAAGCAGGUACGCCAGUAUUUGUGGAGUCGCCGUUGAAAUACCACCCUUUGCUUAUCUGGGAUCUAACUUGAACAAGGACACCGCUUGGUGGGUAGUUUGACUGGGGUGGUCGCCUCCAAAAGCGUAACG